rnacentral:rRNA from 1 species
ACGGAAGGCAGCAGUGGGGAAUAUUGCACAAUGGGCGAAAGCCUGAUGCAGCGACGCCGCGUGAGUGAAGAAGUAUCUCGGUAUGUAAAGCUCUAUCAGCAGGGAAGAAAAUGACGGUACCUGACUAAGAAGCCCCGGCUAACUACGUGCCAGCAGCCGCGGUAAUACGUAGGGGGCAAGCGUUAUCCGGAUUUACUGGGUGUAAAGGGAGCGUAGACGGUUUGGCAAGUCUGAAGUGAAAUGCGGGGGCUCAACUCCUGAACUGCUUUGGAAACUGUCGAACUAGAGUGCAGGAGAGGUAAGUGGAAUUCCUAGUGUAGCGGUGAAAUGCGUAGAUAUUAGGAGGAACACCAGUGGCGAAGGCGGCUUACUGGACUGUAACUGACGUUGAGGCUCGAAAGCGUGGUGAGCAAACAGGAUUAGAUACCCUGGUA